GCUGAUGGCAUAAAAACAUCUUUGAAAGCUCCAGGGCUUCAGAUGUCUGCCUGUUGUUAAAUAAAACACCUCUUUAGACAAGUUCUACACACUGAAAAGAAUAGGAAGUAGUGGAUUUUGGUCAACCUACUUGCUCCGUCUGGGGACAAGUUGGGCAGACAUCAGGUACCAAUUGGGGGUAUUGAAUACUCCAGACCCUGUCCUGCUGAUGAGUAUUGAGAAGAUCAAUAGCUCUCUUCAAGAAUGCUGAUAGGGAAGCCCAUUUAAGAACAAAAGCCUGCAAAAUACCAGGGUUUCUCAAAUUUUUGGUAGGUAUCAGAAUCACUUGCAAAGCUUAUUGAAACAUGGAUUGCCGGACUUCAUUCUCAGUUACGCAUUUCUAAUGACGUUCUGAUUUCUAAUGACAUUUCUAAUGGUAUUUCAUGGUGUUUUCUACUUUCCCUAAAUUUAUGAGCUCGAUUAGUCAUUGAGAACAUGUAGCCAUCUAUUGUUAAGAAAUCUGUAUGUUAUCCAAGAGAUUAUUGUUAAUAGAUUUCAGAUGCACAGUUUUGAAAAUAUGAAAGCAACCCAAUUAUUACUUUUUAAUACUCACUGGAACACAAAUUUGAAUUUCAUGGUUCACAGUCACUGUGUGAGUAUGAAUCUGCAGUCAGGAGCUAGUGAGUGAAUCUACUUAAAGGCCAGUGUCAAUAAUGCAAACCAUUUUUGUUUGUUAUUCAUGACUAUUGUUCAUUUUAAGUGAACGAUUAUAUAUUUUCAUGAGGGAUCACAAACUCAAUGCCCAACCAGACCAGGCAAGCAAUUGCAGAUGAGUGGAAUGAUCUGGGUGGAGAAUGGGCUGAGCCGGGGGGCUUGUGUCCAUCUAAGAACAGAAACCUACAAAAUUCCAGCUGAUGGAUGCCAGGUGGGAAUGUGCGGCUGCCUUGCCAUGUCUUCAAUUUUCAAGAGAACCUAGGAAUCCAGAUUUUAACAUGACCUCCUUCCCCUGCCUUUUUAAGACGUCAGCUCUCCACAAGGCCCAAGAAAACACUUUGGUGAAAUGCUAAGAUCAAAGCUACUGGAACUACCCCUUCGUCUGUUCAACAGAAAGAUAAAGAAAUCU
rnacentral:lncRNA from 1 species